rnacentral:rRNA from 1 species
CUUUGAACGGAACUUAGAGACAGGUGCUGCAUGGCUGUCGUCAGCUCGUGCCGUGAGGUGUUGGGUUAAGUCCCGCAACGAGCGCAACCCUAUUUUUAGUUGCCAUCAGGUUAAGCUGGGCACUCUAAGAGACUGCCGUCGAUAAGGCGGAGGAAGGUGGGGACGACGUCAAGUCAUCAUGGCCCUUAUGUCUAGGGCUACACACGUGCUACAAUGGGUUAUACAGAGGGCAGCUAGCUCGCGAGAGUCUGACGAAUCCCUUAAAGUAAUCCUCAGUUCGGAUUGUAGUCUGCAACUCGACUACAUGAAGUUGGAAUCGCUAGUAAUCGCAGGUCAGCAAAACUGCGGUGAAUACGUUCCCGGGCCUU